GAUGCACUCAAGAAAGAACAUGUGUGUUUUGAUUUGGGAAAGGAGGAGUCUGCGAGGGACUUUGACACUCAGGGAGUGCUGAGGAAACCAAGUUAACCCUCCUGAGGACUUGGUCAGGCGGAAGCAGGCACAGCUGCAGCCCCGCUGGGGUCCUGCAUCAGGCACCAGGAGCCAUUUCCUGCCAGAGAGACUGUUCAACACAGGGAUGAGGGGCUCUGGAGGCUGGGACGACCUCCAUUCCUGGCAGGUUUGGAGGUCACUAAGUAGAUCCCCAUCUGCUGGAAUGGAAGUCAUGGGGAGAACGCUGGAGGGCCUUCACAGACCGAGUUCAGCGUCUUCACACCCCUGUGGUUAGAGGAAAGGGAGAGAGAAGAACAAAGGAUGCUGCCCUAGCCAUUUCCCACAGAAGAGACUUGCCCAUUCUCUAGAAAGAAACGACUUCUGGCCCUGUCCAACUGGAAGGCUGCUACAGACUUCCUGGGCGAGGGCUGCCUAGGGAGGAACCCUGAUGUGAAUGCAGCUGACAUAACAAUAACCUGGAACUCAGUUCUCCUGACAUGCUAUGAAACAAGAGCCUCCAGCUGAGGAAAAUUGAGAACUUGGAGGUCACACUUCAAGUUACUGAUUGGCCAAACCAGGAACAAACUCAGAAUGAUCCCCAGCCCUGAAGUGUUACCCUGCAGACACCAGCUCCUCACAGCCGACUGUAUGUGAGUGUUUGGGAGGAAGUAAAUAAAAUGUGCAGUUUUUACUUUUUUCAUUGCUGUGGCCCUGAUAAAAACAGUUUAAGGAUGGCGGAGUUUAGUUUGCCUCAUGGUUCAAGAGGACACAGUCUGCCAUGGAGGGGAGGCGUGGCAGCAGGAUCCUGAGGUGACUAAGCACAGUGCAUUCACAGUCAGGAAGCAGAGAAAGACAAACGCUGGUGCUCAGCUCACUUUCUCCUUUUCCUUGAGCCCAGGACCCCCACCCCUGAGGUGGUUCUUCCCACCAAAUGAACUUAAUCUAAAAGCUCCCUCACAAGCAUGCCCCAAUGUUUAUCUCAUGCUGACGCUUCAUCCUGCCAAGUUGACAGCCAGUCUUAAGCAUCACAGAGGACAGUGCUGGCGGCAGCUGCUUCUCAUCCGUGGAGUGAGUGUCAGACUCCGUCACCUCUGUAAGGCUCCAUCACCUCUGUAAGUUUUCGUCGCCUCUGAGAUGUACCGCCAGUUCAUUAGCACAAGUGCCAAGUUUAGGCAAAUUGUGAAUUUCUCAGGAAGGACUUUUUUCUAUCCAACACUUGUGUUUCUGGAAGCCUAAUGGGUCUCCUUAGGGAUGAAUGAAUCCUGGAGGGACUGAAAACUACUUUGGGGAGCCAGCCACCGGAAGGAUGCAGCUAUCACAUGGAUUUCAUCUCACCCAGAGCUAUGGCUUCUAGAGUCUCACUCCGAGCACCCUAGCAUAGACAGUGUUUGAGACACACUGAGAAUGACGUCAAGCAUCGGCUCAAACCCCUGCCUGAACUCCCAAAUACUAGAACUACCCAGACAGCCUCUACCUCCUGCUGGUCAACCUGCUGGGAUCUGAAAGCCAUCCUGCCUCUAAGCUUUGCUGCCUGAAGCUGAGGACUAUGCCAGGCACAGGUAGAAAUCUGUGGGCAUUCUGAUGAUCUCAGUGUUGCCUGAACGGCAGUGCCCCAGAAUCCCAGUAAGUACUAGGACCAGGGGUUACUCACUGCACUGUGGAAUGUUGAUUUUGCAAAGGGUACUAGUCUUGCCCCAGUUGCCUUGGAAACCUACUCGCUGAUGUCCUGAUACCUCCAAGUAUAACAAUCACAGGGUCACACUUAGGUCUGUCCUGUGUGUGAAGGGGGAGGGUAGUGUUCUCGCACCUGUCUGCUUUGCCCUGGGUUUUGGCUACGAUGCUGAGAAUUGAACCCAGGGCUUUUGCACAUGCUGUGUAGGUACUUUUCUGGCUACAUCCCUAGCCCAACUCCUCUUGUUUCAAAGGUUAUUUAUGUAGACACAU